rnacentral:misc_RNA from 1 species
AGAAGUCUCUCGUUUGGGUAGAGGGAGAUGCAGAAGCCUUGAGCUUUGAAGACAACUCAAUGGAUGGAUACACAAUUGCUUUUGGUAUCAGGAAUGUUACACACAUAGAGAAAGUUCUUGCAGAAGCAUAUAGGGUGCUUAAAAGGGGAGGAAGGUUUCUCUGCCUUGAACUAAGCCACGUUGAUAUCCCGGUUUAUAAGGACUUAUAUGAUGUCUACUCAUUCUCAGUCAUCCCAGCAGUUGGUGAGCUAGUGACAGGUGAUCGAGAGUCUUAUCAGUACUUGGUUGAGAGUGUCCGCCGUUUCCCUCCACAGGAACAAUUUGCAAAAAUGAUUGCAGAUGCUGGAUUUCAAAAGGUAGAAUACGAGAACCUUGUUGGUGGAGUUGUCGCAAUCCAUUCAGGG